rnacentral:rRNA from 1 species
AACUUCAAACUCCGACUCUGAACUCACAUCAGUUGAACGCCGGCAGCUGUGAGAACUAAUGUGAAUUGCAGAACACAUUGAUCACCGGCCCUUCAAAUGUGCUCUGCAGCUCUAGGUUCCUCCUGGGGCCAAGUCUGUCUGAGAUAGG